AUUGGCUCACACCUCUAAUCCUAGCACUGUGGGAGGCUGAGGCAGAAGGAUCACUUGAAUCCAGAAGUUUGUGGCCAGCCUGGGCAUCACAGCAAGAUCAUGUCUUUUUUUAAAAAAAAGUUACCAACAUAUUACAACUUACAAGUGUCUUCAAACAACACCUUUUUAUAAACACACAGACCUGUACAGUUCUAAAAUUCGGAAGCCCAGCAGAGCACCACUGGAUCUUUGGCCUGUGUAUCACCAGUCUGGAAUCAAGAGGACUCAUAAUGAUCACUGCUUAGAACUGAUGAUCUGCUGAACACACAAUAUUACUAAAGGUAAACGUCAGACCCCAGAGAGCUUCAGUUCAGGCCUAUAGAAACAAUGAUAUUAUAACAAUGAUAUGUAUCUACGUGUGGUGUUAAUAAUAGAUUCUGG
rnacentral:lncRNA from 13 species